rnacentral:lncRNA from 1 species
AUCACAACACAACUCUAAAAGUAAAAUAAGUAAUACAAGCAUCAUAUUACAAGCCAGGGGCCUCGAGGGCUCGCAUACAAGUGCUCGAACGUAAAUGAGUCAGUGGAAGCAACAAUAUCUGAGUACAGACAUAAGUCAAACAAGUUGCCAUAAGAUGGCUAACACAAACUGGGAUAAAGAUCGAAAGAGGCGCAGGCCUCCUGCCUAGGAUCCUCUUAACUACUCCUCUAAGCCGAACUCCUUGUAGAACCAUCCUUAGGAUCCUCUGGCUCCUGGACUCCAACAUCUGGUUGCGGCAACUGGGAAGAAAGGAAAAAGGGGGAAAAGAGGGAGCAAAGCAACCAUGAGUACUCAUCCAAAGUACUCGCAAGCAAGGAUCUACACUACAUAUGCAUGGGUAUAUGUGUAAAGAGGCAAUAUUGGUGGACUGAACUACAGAAUCCCAGAAUAAGAGGGGGAUAGCUAGUCCUAUCGAAGACUACGCUUCUGGCAGCCUCCGUCUUGCAGCAUGUAGAAGAGAGUAGAUUGAAGUCCUCCAAGUAGCAUCGCAUAGCAUAAUCCUACCCGGCGAUCCUCCCCUCGUCGCCCUGUGGAAAAUCAAUCACCGGGUUGUCUGUGGAACUUGUCUGGGUGUGUUUAUUAAGUAUCCGGUUCUAGUUGUCAUAAGGUCAAGGUACAACUCCGGGUCGUCCUUUUACCAAGGGACGCCUAUUCGAAUAGAUAAACUUCCCUGCAGGGGUGCACCACAUUUCCCAACACGCUCGAUCCCUCUCGCCGGACACACUUUCCUAGGUCAUGCCCGGCCUCGAAAGACCAACACGUCGCAGCCCCACCUAGGCACAACAGAGAGGUCAGCAUGGCGGUCUAAAUCCUAUGCGCGCAGGGGUUUGGGCCCAUCGCCCAUUGCACACCUGCAUGUUGCAUGGGCGACCGGUGAGCAGACCUAGCAACCUUCAUUGCAAAGGAAGUUGCGUUAUGCGGUCCAACCCGGCAUGUGCCGCUCAGUCACUGAUGUCAAGAAGGCUUCGGCUGAUACCACGACAUCGAGUGCCCAUAACUGUUCCCGCGUAGUUGGUUAGUGCGUAUAGGCCAGUGGCCAGACUCAGAUCAAAUACCAAGAUCUCGUUAAGCGUGUUAUUUUGAAGUAACCGCGGAUGCCGACCAGGGCUAGGCCCACCUCUCGCCUAGGUGGUCUCAACCUGCCAUGUCGCUCUGCCACAAAGUAACAGUCGGGGGCCGUCGGGAUCCCAGGCCAACUUCUACCGGGAUGGAUCCACCUGUCCUUUCAGCCCCCAUAUCCGAAUCACUUGCGGGUACUCAACGAGCCGACCUCACUUUAGUCAUCAACUAUAUAAUAUGUAUAUAUGUAUAGUAUAUACCCGUGAUCACCUCUUGAGUGAUCACGGCCCGAUAGUAUAGCAAGGCAGACUGACAAGAAUGUAGGGCCAAUGAUGAUAAACUAGCAUCCUAUACUAAGCAUUUAGGAUUGCGGGUAAGGUAUCAACGACUGUAGAAACAAUGAUAGGCUAUGCAACAGAAUAGGAGUAACCAAACAGUAACAUGCUACACUACUCUAAUGCAAUCAGUAGAGAGAAGAAUAGGCGAUAUCUGGUGAUCAAGGGGGGGGCUUGCCAGGUUGCUCUAGCAAGUAGGGGCCAUCAACUCCGUAGUCGAACUAGGGUCGCUGGCAGUCUCGAGGCCUACUGGAAAGAAGUAACGGAGGGGGAACAUAAUAAAUAACAGAGCAAUCAAAGCAUCGCAAAGCGUAACAUGGCAAUACGCGGUGCUAGGUGUGCCCUAACGCGAUAGUAGGUGAUACUGACGAAGGAGGGAAACAUCUGGGAAAGUAUCCCCGGUGUUUUGCGUUUUUGGAUAGAUGAACCGGAGGUGAAAUGUUGCAUGUUUUCUAUGCUAGGGACGCGUGGCUGACAAACGGGUUGCGCAUUCGAAUUUGUCUAGCCGUUCUGAGCAACUUUCAUGUACAAAGUUUUUCCAUCGGAGUAACGAAUUAUUUUAUAUUAAUUUUGAAAGCUUUAAAUCAUUUUCUAAAUUAUUAUUAUCAAAUUAAUUCGAAAUUAGUAUUAUUGCAUCAGCAUGACAUCAGCAUGACAUCAGCAUUCAACGAAGGUGUUGAUUGGGUUGCUGACAUGUGGGUCCCAUCUGUCAUUGACACAUUGCCCUAACUAACAAAUUAGUUAGUUUAAUUACAUAUUUAGGUUAAUUAAGUUUAAUUAGUUGAACUAAACAUGGUUAAUUAAGUUAAUUAAUUAAUUAAUUAAUUUAAGUAUUAAUUUUUUAAUCUUUUUUUAAAACGUUCCGGGGUUGGGGCCCCCUUGUGAUAGGCCCCUGGGGGACUAGCGGGUCGUGGGCGCUAGCGAAACGGGCGGCGGUGUUGGGCGCCCGAACUGGGCGCGGCCAGUCGGGGCCACGGCGAGGGGGAACGCCGGCGUGGCAGCGGCGAGGUGCGCCGGGCAGGAGACAGCAGGGGGGAAUAGCCACAGGCAGACCGGUUGGGGAGGCGGCCAUGGUGGAGCAGGGGCAGCGGGAUGGUGCGGGGUGGCGGCGGUCGUGAGCGGGCAUCGGAGUGCGUGCGGCGAGGGGCGCAGGUCGCGGCCACGACGGCAUGGUGCACGGGUGCGCGAGCAACCAAGGAGGGGAGGGAGGAGGCAAGCUCACGAUGGCGACGAGUCAGGCGAGGCGGGCGUGAGGGAGAGCGGUAGAGGAGAUGGGGGAGCUCACAGUAGGAGUUGUAGGGGCACGGGGCAGCAGUG